rnacentral:lncRNA from 1 species
GCCAAUCAGCGGAAGCCGCCGGGGCCGCCUAGAGAAGAGGCUGUGCUUCGGCGCUCCGGCUCCUCAGAGAGCCUCGGCUAGGUGUGGAAACAGGAAGAGAACUAGAACUGGAAGUAAAGCAUUGAAGAUGUGACUGAAUUGCUGCAAUCUCAUGAUCAAAUUUGAAUGGAUGAGGAGUUGCUUUUUAGGGAUGAGCAAAGAAAGUGGUUUCUCGAGAUGGAAUCUACUGGUGAAGUUGCUGUGAACAUUGUUAAAAUGCCAAUAAAGGAUUUAGGAAUUACAGAAACCUGGUUGAUAAAGCAGUGCCAGGGUGUGAGAGAGUUGACUUCAAUUUUGAAAUAAGUUCCACUGGCUGGGUGUGGUGGCUCACACCUGCAAUCCCAGUACUUUAGGAGGCCGAGACUGGUAGAUCAUUUGAGGUCAGGAGUUCAAGACCAGCCUUGCCAACAUGGUGAAACCCCACCUCUACCAAAUUAGCCAGGUGUGGUGCACACCUGUAGUCCCAGCUACUUGGGAAGCUGAGGCAGGAGAAUCUCUUGAACCAGGGAGGAGGAGGUUGCAGUAAGCCGAGAUGGCGCCCCUGCACUCCAGCCUGGGUGACAGAGUGAGACCUUGCGUUUAAAAAAAAAAAAAAAGGAAAAGGAAAAAAAAGUUCUACUGUGGGUAAAAUGCUAUCAUGCUAUCAAACAGCAUCACAUGCUACAGAGAAGUCUUGUGAAAGGAUGUCAGUGUGGCAAACUUCAUUGUCUUUUAAGAAAUUGCCACAGCUAUCGUAAUCUUCAACCACCACCACCCUGAUGAGUCAGUAGCCAUCGUUAACGUUGGCGUAAGACCCUCCACCAGCAAAAAGAUUGUUAGCAUUUUUUUAGCAGUGAUGUAUUUAUCAAUUAUACAUAAUGCUAUUGUACACUUCUUAAUAGACUAUGGUAUAGUGUAACCAUAAUUUAUGCACUGGGAAACCAACAAAUUCAUGAGAUUCGCUUUAUUGUAGUGCUCUGGAAUUGAGCCUGCCGUGUUUCUGAGGUAUACCUGUGUAUUUAGUAUGUUCCUUGUAUAUAAAACCCCAUUUUAUAGGGUAGGAAACUAAGGCUUAGAGUUUGAGCAAUUUUCCCAUAGAUAACACCAAUAAAUUGAGGGCUGCAGAGACCACUUAAGUGGUUCUCUUAACAGUAGUCUAGACAUGACGUAAUGAGAUUUGGCUUAGGAGUGACAAUGGUAAGGAAGUUAAAGGAUUCAGGAACCAAAUACCAGUUAUUGAGAAGAAAGAAUGGCCUCAAAACAUCACUUCUCAAGGAAGCCUUGAUACCCUCACCCUUACUACACUGUAUCCUCCAUUUGAAUGUUGUCAAGAGCUCUUCUCACAAUUGUAAAUAAUAAUUGUGUAAUUUUGUUUUUUUUUUCCUACUUUAGGUUGCUCCUUGAGGGCAGGACAGUUCUUAUGGCUUUAUCCGUUGCGUAAGCACAGAGAGGUCUGCGAGGUCAAAACUAUUGUCAUGAUAGCAAGAUGCCUGUCUUUUUCAUUUAUUCUCACGGUGUGCAGAGGCUACAUGAUGUGUGAUGACAUCCUCAUUGAUGUUAAUGAAUGGUGCUAUACUUGAAUUUUCUAAGGUGUCAUUAGCAAUUCUCCUGCCUCAGCCUCCUGCAUAACUGGGACUACAGGGAAGCACCAUUUUCCACAAAACUCUCAAGAAGGACUUGUUGCAACUGGAAAAGCAAUUAAAUGUGAAUCGUGAUCCAGGAGAAAGUAACAACUCACAUAACUCCCAAAUUAAAAGUUUUCCAAAGAUAUAUCAUUUUUUUUCUCUUGGCCUUUUAAGAAACUAGCCAACAAAUACUCUUGACAGGUUUGUGUUUGGUUUUGAAAACACACACCUUAGUGUACUGAAAGAAAAACAAUUUCUUUUAAUUUGGUUUGUUGGUCCCACACCCCAUCUAUCAAUGUAUGUGCUAUUUACAAAUAAGUUCUAUACAGUAUUUUUGCAGUACCUUUGAUAAUUCCUAGACCUCUAUUUUCAUUCUGUGUAUUAAUGUGAAUAACAGAUGGAUAUUUUAAUAUUUAAGGCAGAUGGUAAACUUUCCUAUAGGUCUUGUGAGACUUCGUCUUAUAGGCUGAACACCAUUCACAAAAUGUAAUAAUGCUUCAUUCCUUCAGGUUGAGGUAAAGAACUUGAGCAACUGGAUUAGCAAAGCUGCAAAGAAUGAAAUGUGGCCUAAGAUGUAAUUAUGUUCUCUGCCCUUCCUUUGGGCCAGGGUAGUUUUGCACUUGACACAAUGGAAAAUAGGCCAUAAAGCCUGAAAAUAAAAUGUUCUAAACCCCAAUCUCACAGCACUUUAGUAGGCUUUUCACUAGGCAUCUUUAAAGUAUUUUCAACAAAAUACUAAUUAAGCUACCACUUCAAAAGAGCUUCAAGGAAAAGCUCUGCUUUCUUAUAAAAUCUUUUUGAGACAGAGUUUCGCUCUUGUCGCACAGGCUGGAGUGCAAUGGCGUGAUCUCGACUCACCGCAACCUCCGCCUGCUGGGUUCAAGUGAUUCUCUAGCCUCAGCCUCCUGAGUAGUUGGGAUUACAGGCGCCCGCCACCACACCUGGCUAAUUUUUGUAUUUCUAGUAGAGACAGGGUUUCACCAUGUUGGCCAGGCUGGUCUCCGGACCUCAGGUGAUCUGCACACUUCGGCUUCCUAAACUGCUGGAAUUACAGUCGUGAGCCACUGUGCCUGGUCUCAUAAAACUUUUAAAUUCCAUCACAUUACAUUCACACCUUUUGCUAACCAGGAUGAAGAGCCUUAAACAGGUUUAAAGAGUGCAGACUGCAGUUUUGUUAAUACUUUUUUCCUCUCCAAGUUCUUUUAUGCUAACAUUUCCAGUGGUGGGAAGUACAAGUACUAUUAGUCAUCUUCAUUCUUUGCAUUGCCAAAGAGUUCCUCUUUCUCCGUCUUGUUCUGAAGGAUGAACAAAAGCUUGAGGUGUACGUAUCAGAACGUAAACUGCAGCACGAAGACCACCAACGUUCACCCAGACUGUAUCCACCUUUCGCCAUACGUGUCGCAUUCCAGAUAACGCCUGUGUACACACAAAAAAAAUAACAAUUAGGUUGACAAUCUACUUUUACAUCAACUAGGAUUCUUAACUGCCAAGAUAGGAAACCUCAGGGGAAGAGAAAACAAAUCUUAUCCAAACAAACAUCCCCAAAUCUCAAAAAGAUCCCAAAGUUGCCACAGGCUGCGAUUUUGAGCUAAUGUGUAUAGCACCUUGGUAAAGCAUUUUGUGUCUUGAGUAAGUAGUACAGCUCGGCCUGUGGUAGGUGUGCAGACACGGCUCAUCUCCCGUAGGCAAGCUGGAUAAAGGUUCCAGUUUCUCUUCUUGGAUCCCAUCCUAUAAUAGAAGGUCUCAUGAGUCAAACACUUGCAAAAGAUACAAAAUAGAAGGACUAUAUGAAACAAAAACAGUUUCAUGCAUCCUGAGGCAUGAAAAAUAGCUGUAGUUUUAGAAACCAGACCUUUGCCAUUACAUGUCUAUGAAAUAAGUUGAGUUAGUAAACUGCUUAGAAUUCUGAAUCAAAAAAAUUUUUUUUAGACAACUGUGUUAGUUAUAUGACUUGUCCUCUUAGUAUAAUAAGCAGUCAAACUGUAUAAACCAAACAAGUGAUUAGAAAUCAUUUAGGCCAGGUGUUUUGGUGGCUCAUGCCUGUAAUCCCAGCAGUUUGGGAGGCUGAGGCGGGCAGAUCACCUGAAGUCAGGAGUUUGAGACCAGCCUGGCCAAUAUGGUGAAACCCUGUCUUUUAAAAAUACAAAAAUAAGCUGGGCAUGAUGGCAUGUGCCUGAAAUCCGAGCUACUCAGGAGGGUGAGGCAGGAGAAUCGCUUGAACCCGGGAGGCAGAGGUUACAGUGAGCCGAGAUCAUACCACUGCACUCCAGCCUGGGCAACAGAGCAGGGCUCUGUCUCCAAAAAAAAAAAAAGAAUCAUUUAUGCUGAGAAACAGAAUGAGAACCAAGUCUUCUACCACCUUUUUGUGUAGGAUAUAUAAUUCAAGAAUGGGCUAGAAAGUGAAUUACAGGUAAUUUAAAAAUGAACCUCCCAUGAUGGUCAGGAUUCCAAAUGUAGUUAAUACAUUCCUGAGUUCUCGGAAGAAACAUAAUGGGUGAAUCCAUCAUGUUGUUAAGUGAAAAACAGCUCUGCUAAGUCUGCUAAAAUUCAAGAUUUUUUUCCUGACUUAGAAUAAACGCAAGGAAAAUAAUGACAUAUUUAGAAGACAAGCAGGUACUAGUAUUUCUCACCUUUUUCCAAAUGGCAAAUCUGUUACAAUAAUAUCCACAGAGCCAGUUCUCAAUGGCAGAUUGCAGAUAUCCCACUGAACAGCAUCUAUGGGCAAGCCCCAGGAGGGUUUGCUGUGGGGACAAAGGAAAGGUGCUUCAACAUACUGUGAAGCAUAAAGUUAUUACAACAAUUUUUGUUUCUGAAGAGAGACUGCUACAGCAAAACAUAAACUGCUAAGGAUAUCAGUGAUAAUAUCAACCUAUUCAAAAUUUAAGAAAUGGCACAAAGGUAAAAAAUAGGUCAGGCUGGGCAUGGUAGCUUGUGCCUAUAAUCAGCACUUUCAGGGGCUGAGGUGGGAGGAUCACUGGACUCCAGGAAUUUGAGACCAGCUGAGCAACACUGUGAGACCUUGUCUCUAAAAUACUUUUUUAAGAAGUUAGCAGGGCAUGAUGGCACACACCUAUAGUCCCAGCUACUCAGGAGGCUGAGGUGGGAGGAUCACUUGAGUCCAGGAGUUGAAAGAUGCAGUGAGCUAGGAUUGUGCCGCUUUACUCCAGCCUGGGUGACAGAGCAAGACCCCCGUCUCAGAAAAAAGGGAAACAAACUGAAAACAUGAUUGUAAUGCAGAGAACUGCAAAAGACAACUUUAAAAACAAUGCUGAAGCAGUAAAUUACAUAACCGAUGAUACAAAAAUUUAAGUUGCUGAUAAAACAUACACUGGAG